ensembl:lncRNA
AUCCUUUUCAUCAACUUUUGCAUUUUAAUGUAAACAAUCAUAUUUCAUAAUAUUUUGGGUCAGAAACAUUUCAUAGUACUAUAUUAUGUCUAAAUAUGUGAAAAGAAUCAAAUUGGAGUAGGUCGGGCAACUGAUUAUAUAAGUUUGUUAGAAAAACCACUUUCCUUUGCUCCUAGCGCCUUCUCGUUCGCUGUAUAGCGUUUUGAGCGGAUAAAGAGCACAAGUGUGUAUGGGGACACUGGAUGAAUGGGAAUUAGUUUUGUUAUUGCACUUUUGAUGAAAACUGACUUUCUAGACAUAAAAUGUCACUUUUUUCACCUUAUCAUCCUUUUUCAUCAACUUUUGCAUUUUAAUGUAAACAAUCAUAUUUCGUAAUAUUUUGUGUCAGAAACAUUUCAUAGUACUAUAUUAUGUCUAAAUAUGUGAAAAGAAUCAAAUUGGAGUAGGUCGGGCAACUGAUUAUAUGAGUUUGUUAGAAAAACCACUUUCCUUUGCUCCUAGCGCCUUCUCGUUCGCUGUAUAGCGUUUUGAGCGGAUAAAGAGCACAAGUGUGCAUGGAGACACUGGAUGAAUGGGAACAAGUUUUGUUAUUGCACUUUUGAUGAAAACUGACUUUCUAGACAUAAAAUGUCACUUUUUUCACCUUAUCAUACUUUUUCAUCAACUUUUGCAUUUUAAUGUAAACAAUCAUAUUUCGUAAUAUUUUGGGUCAGAAACAUUUCAUAGUACUAUAUUAUGUCUAACUAUGUGAAAAAAAUCAAAUUGGAGUAGGUCGGGCAACUGAUUAUAUGAGUUUGUUAGAAAAAGCACUUUCCUUUGCUCCUAGCGCCUUCUCGUUCGCUGUAUAGCGUUUUGAGCGGAUAAAGAGCACAAGUGUGUAAGGAGACACUGGAUGAAUGGGAACAAGUUUUGUUAUUGCACUUUUGAUGAAAACUGACUUUCUAGACAUAAAAUGUCACUUUUUUCACCUUAUCAUACUUUUUCAUCAACUUUUGCAUUUUAAGGUAAACAAUCAUAUUUCGUAAUAUUUUGGGUCAGAAACAUUUCAUAGUACUAUAUUAUGUCUAAAUAUGUGAAAAGAAUCAAAUUGGAGUAGGUCGGGCAACUGAUUAUAUGAGUUUGUUAGAAAAACCACUUUCCUUUGCUCCUAGC